GCAGAAGUGGCGGAAUUUGGUAUACGCACUAGAUUUAGGACCUAGUUUUUUAAGAGUUCAAGUCUCUUCUUCUGUA
rnacentral:tRNA from 1 species